UACAGAGGUGGCAAGCGUUGUUCGGAAUUACUGGGCGUAAAGGGCGCGUAGGCGGUCUUGUAAGUCCCGUGUGAAAUCCCUCGGCUCAACUGAGGAACUGCACGGGAAACUGCUUGGCUUGAGUUCGGGAGAGGGAAGCGGAAUUCCGGGUGUAGCGGUGGAAAUGACGUAGAUAUCCGGAGGAACACCGGUGGCGAAGGCGGCUUCCUGGACCGACACUGACGCUGAGGCGCGAAAGCUAGGGGAGCAAACGGG
rnacentral:rRNA from 1 species